rnacentral:rRNA from 1 species
GACAGAGGUGCCGAGCGUUAGGCGGAAUCACUGGGCUUAAAGCGUGUGUAGGCGGACUCGUAAGUGCUUUGUGAAAUCCCAUGGCUCACCCAUGGAACUGCUUGGCAUACUGCGAGCCUUGAGCCACUUAGGGGCAACCGGAACAAACGGUGGAGCGGUGAAAUGCGUAGAUAUCGUUUGGAACGCCAAUGGUGAAAACGAGGUUGCUGGGAGUGCGCUGACGCUGAGGCACGAAGGUCAGGGGAGGCAAACGGGG